GAGUUUGAUCCUGGCUCAGAUUGAACGCUGGCGGCAUGCCUUACACAUGCAAGUCGAACGGCAGCACGGGAGCUUGCUCCUGGUGGCGAGUGGCGAACGGGUGAGUAAUGCAUCGGAACGUAUCCUGGAGUGGGGGAUAACGUAGCGAGAGUUACGCUAAUACCGCAUAUUCUGUGAGCAGGAAAGCGGGGGACCUUCGGGCCUCGCGCUCUUGGAGCGGCCGAUGUCGGAUUAGCUAGUUGGUGAGGUAAAGGCUCACCAAGGCGACGAUCCGUAGCAGGUCUGAGAGGAUGAUCUGCCACACUGGAACUGAGACACGGUCCAGACUCCUACGGAGGCAGCAGUGGGAAUUUUGGACAAUGGGGGCAACCCUGAUCCAGCCAUGCCGCGUGAGUGAAGAAGGCCU
rnacentral:rRNA from 1 species